UGCUUGCAAACUAAAGAUGGCGACCGGCGCACGGGUGAGUAACACGUAUCCAACCUGCCGAUAACUCGGGGAUAGCCUUUCGAAAGAAAGAUUAAUAUCCGAUGGUAUAUUUUCUCCGCAUGGUGAGAAUAUUAAAGAAUUUCGGUUAUCGAUGGGGAUGCGUUCCAUUAGUUUGUUGGCGGGGUAACGGCCCACCAAGACCACGAUGGAUAGGGGUUCUGAGAGGAAGGUCCCCCACAUUGGAACUGAGACACGGUCCAAACUCCUACGGGAGGCAGCAGUGAGGAAUAUUGGUCAAUGGACGAGAGUCUGAACCAGCCAAGUAGCGUGAAGGAUGACUGCCCUAUGGGUUGUAAACUUCUUUUAUAUGGGAAUAAAGUGUUCCACGUGUGGGAUUUUGUAUGUACCAUAUGAAUAAGGAUCGGCUAACUCCGUGCCAGCAGCCGCGGUAAUACGGAGGAUCCGAGCGUUAUCCGGAUUUAUUGGGUUUAAAGGGAGCGUAGGUGGAUUGUUAAGUCAGUUGUGAAAGUUUGCGGCUCAACCGUAAAAUUGCAGUUGAAACUGGCAGUCUUGAGUACAGUAGAGGUGGGCGGAAUUCGUGGUGUAGCGGUG
rnacentral:rRNA from 1 species